GCCCGCCUCCCCGCGGCGGUGUCACCUGCCCCCAGGCCGGCGCGUGCCCGCGGAAGUGUGCGGCGGCGGGGGCGCACGUGGCUGCUGUGUGCGGGCCUCCCUCUGCCCCCGUGUACGCCUGGAAGCGAGUCGGGGUGGAGGGGUCAGUCUGGUCUCGCCCCGGGGGCGGGUGUGACAUCCCUCGGUGCGUGAGACAGGAGAGGACCCCGGAGGGCCUGGACGGGUGCCGCCCUCCAACCCCCGGACUGGCCUGUUCCCGGGGAUAUCACAGUACAGGGCUCCUGGGUGGGAAGCUUAUAACCAAACUCCUUCCUCAGCCGGAGGAGGGCCCUGAGAAAUCCCUGGAAGCAGGCGAUUGGAAGGAACUGAGAGCAGAACUCAGGAGAGCGAGAUCUGGGGCACACGUUCAAGGAUUGGUUCCAGACGUCCACGAGCAAGCCAGGACGAAGCCCUUUCCCGCCAAACCACGGAAGGCUGGGAGACAAGCAGCGCCUGCCCCAACUCCGGGAGUGGGAACCCGGGAGAAGACUGGAGGGGAUGGGGAAACACUGGCAGGAAUUUCCUUGUCGUGAGAAGACCGACGGGCGUCUGCAGCGGUGGAGACAACUACAAACAGACUUGGGGCCGGGAGGAGGGCGGGAGGAGGGGUGGCGGGGGCCAGCUUUGAUCGCUUCAACUCUGUUGUAAUUUUGUCUUCUCCACAUUAGCCAAAAUAGUCAGCCCUAGCUAGGGGUUCUGUUCGGCGGAGUCCCCUCCCCCCCACCCCUCCACCCCCGCGUCCUGUGCACGCGGGGAGCUGGGUCGCAGCUCCUCCCCAGUCGCGCCUGAAACUUCAAGGGCUCCUGGUCCUGUGUUCCUGCCGUAAUUAGGAGGCCACACAGCUCUCCAGCACUGCGUUACACAAGUAUGUGAGUCCUCCUCCCCCUCUCCGGGGACAGACCCGGGGAAGGACGGCAGCUGGGACCGCCCCGGGCGGUGUCCUCCGUUGGGGGAGUGGCUUCGCUGUGACCCCCGGCUGCUCCUCCCGGCCUCGGUCUUUCUAAGCUCUUCCUUAGAAAGUAGAGAAAGGGGCAAAGAAUGUGCAUCUCGCCACCCACCGGACAAGCCAGGCGAGCCUGUGUCUGUGCUUGAAAAGUUUUCUAAAUAAAUUGCUCUGGUGGUUCCA
rnacentral:lncRNA from 12 species